UACGUAUGGUGCAAGCGUUAAUCGGAAUUACUGGGCGUAAAGCGUGCGCAGGCGGUUAUAUAAGACAGAUGUGAAAUCCCCGGGCUCAACCUGGGAACUGCAUUUGUGACUGUAUAGCUAGAGUACGGCAGAGGGGGAUGGAAUUCCGCGUGUAGCAGUGAAAGGCGGAGAUAUGCGGAGGAACACCGAUGGCGAAGGCAAUCCCAUGGGACUGUACGGACGCGCAUGCACGCACGCGUGGGGAGCACACAGGAGGCGAUAACACGGGAGUCC
rnacentral:rRNA from 1 species